UUUAUAUGAGAGUUUGAUCCUGGCUCAGGAUGAACGCCGGCGGUGUGCCUAAUACAUGCAAGUCGUACGCACUGGCCCAACUGAUUGAUGGUGCUUGCACCUGAUUGACGAUGGAUCACCAGUGAGUGGCGGACGGGUGAGUAACACGUAGGUAACCUGCCCCGGAGCGGGGGAUAACAUUUGGAAACAGAUGCUAAUACCGCAUAACAACAAAAGCCACAUGGCUUUUGUUUGAAAGAUGGCUUUGGCUAUCACUCUGGGAUGGACCUGCGGUGCAUUAGCUAGUUGGUAAGGUAACGGCUUACCAAGGCGAUGAUGCAUAGCCGAGUUGAGAGACUGAUCGGCCACAAUGGAACUGAGACACGGUCCAUACUCCUACGGGAGGCAGCAGUAGGGAAUCUUCCACAAUGGGCGCAAGCCUGAUGGAGCAACACCGCGUGAGUGAAGAAGGGUUUCGGCUCGUAAAGCUCUGUUGUUGGAGAAGAACGUGCGUGAGAGUAACUGUUCACGCAGUGACGGUAUCCAACCAGAAAGUCACGGCUAACUACGUGCCAGCAGCCGCGGUAAUACGUAGGUGGCAAGCGUUAUCCGGAUUUAUUGGGCGUAAAGCGAGCGCAGGCGGUUGCUUAGGUCUGAUGUGAAAGCCUUCGGCUUAACCGAAGAAGUGCAUCGGAAACCGGGCGACUUGAGUGCAGAAGAGGACAGUGGAACUCCAUGUGUAGCGGUGGAAUGCGUAGAUAUAUGGAAGAACACCAGUGGCGAAGGCGGCUGUCUGGUCUGCAACUGACGCUGAGGCUCGAAAGCAUGGGUAGCGAACAGGAUUAGAURCCCUGGUAGUCCAUGCCGUAAACGAUGAGUGCUAGGUGUUGGAGGGUUUCCGCCCUUCAGUGCCGGAGCUAACGCAUUAAGCACUCCGCCUGGGGAGUACGACCGCAAGGUUGAAACUCAAAGGAAUUGACGGGGGCCCGCACAAGCGGUGGAGCAUGUGGUUUAAUUCGAAGCUACG
rnacentral:rRNA from 2 species